GUUUUUUUUUCUUUCGCUAACGGAGCUCACGAGAUUUUCUGUUAAGUUUUGUGUUGUGAAGUUUUCAAGUUUUGGGUAAAAGAUUCGAUGGAUUAUGGAACAAGGAGUGGCAAGAGCCUAAGCUUGGGGAUGCCCAUGGCACCCCAAGAUAAUCUAAGGACACCUAAAAGCCAAAGCUUGGGGAUGCCCCGGAAGGCAUCCCCUCUUUUGUCUACUUCCAUCGGUAACUUUACUUGGAGCUAUAUUUUUAUUCACCACAUGAUAUGUGUUUUGCUUGGAGCGUCUUGUAUGAUUUGAGUCUUUAUUUGUUAGUUUACCACAAUCAUCUUUGCUGUACACACCUUUUGAGAGAGACACACAUGAUUCGGAAAUUGUUAGAAUACUCUAUGUGCUUCACUUAUAUCUUUUGAGUUAUAUAGUUUUUGCUCUAGUGCUUCACUUAUAUCUUUUAGAGCACGGCUGUAGUUUUGUUUUAUAGAAACUAUUGUUCUCUCAUGCUUCACUUAGAUUAUUUUGAGAGUCCUACAAAACAGUAAUUUGCUUUAAUUAUGUUAGGCAUUCAAGAUUAGUAAAAAAAUCUUAUGAGUGUGUUGAAUACUAUGAGAAGUUUGAUACUAGAUAAUCGUUUUGAGAUAUGAAGGGCAUGUUCGGCAACGCUCCAGCUCCUAGAUUCGUCAACUCCAUGCAUGAAGCUGAGCCGAACACUCUACCUCCAGGAAGCUGGAAUAGAGAAGCUGGCGGCCCGUCUUAGUGUAAAAAUGAAGGAGUUGGGGAAGCUGGUGCUUUCCAGAUCCGUGAAAUCAAGGAAGUUGGAGUUGAGGCAAAUUACACCAUGUUGCCACCGCCAAGUGACUUCCAGCGUACCGUUUCGAUUUUCUAUCGCUAACUCUCUCUUGCGCGCGUUGGCUGUUGGUUUGGGCCCAACCUGGCCUGCCAAUCCCUCUAAGUUGGGUUUAUUGCUAAUCAAAUGGCCUGUCAGACACGUGCCUAACCACUGAAACUGGAAGUUGUGUGCCAAACGCUUUCCAUAGCGCCAGCUGAAGUGAGAAGCAAUACGAGAAGUUGAAUCUAGGAAGUUUUGGAGAAGCUGGGCACUCUCAGAACACGCCCGAAGAUGGUGAUAUUAGAGUCAUGCUAUUGAGUAGUUUUGAAUUUGAGAAAUACUUGUGUUAAAGUUUGUGAUUCCCGUAGCAUGCACGUAUGGUGAACCGUUAUGUGAUGAAGUCGGAACAUGAUUUAUUUAUUGAUUGUCUUCCUUAUGAGUGGCGGUCGGGGACGGGCGAUGGUUUUUUUCCUACCAAUCUAUCCCCCUAGGAGCAUGCGCGUAAUACUUUGCUUUGAUAACUUGUAGAUUUUUGCAAUAAGUAUAUGAGUUCUUUAUGACUAAUGUUGAGUCCAUGGAUUAUACGCACUUUCUUCCUUCCACCAUCGCUAGCCUCUCUAGUACCGCGCACUUUUCGCCGGUAUCAUACACCCACCAUAUACCUUCCUCAAAACAGCCACCAUACCUACCUAUCAUGGCAUUUCCAUAGCCAUUCCGAGAUAUAUUGCCAUGCAACUUACCACCGUUCCGUUUAUUAUGACACGCUCCAUCAUUGUCAUAUUGCUUUGCAUGAUCAUGUAGUUGACAUUGUAUUUGUGGCAAAACCACCGUUCAUAACUCUUUCAUACAUGUCACUCUUGAUUCACUGCAUAUCCCGGUAUACCGCCGGAGGCAUUCACAUAGAUUCAUAUUUUGUUCUAAGUAUUGAGUUGUAAUUGUUGAGUUGUAAGUAAAUAAAAGUGUGAUGAUCAUCAUUUUUAGAGCAUUGUCCCAAGUGAGGAAAGGAUGAUGGAGACUAUGAUUCCCCCACAAGUCGGGAUGAGACUCCGGACUAAAUAAAAAAGAAUAAAAAAGAGGCCAUAAAAAAAGAGAAAAGGCCCAAACAAAAAAAUGAGAGAAAAAGAGAGAAGGGACAAUGCUACUAUCCUUUUACCACACUUGUAUUGCGUGAAGAUUGAAAAAGUUUGAGAACACCAAAAGUAUGAAACAAUUGCUUGGCUUGUCAUCGGGGUUGUGCAUGAUUUCAAUACUUUGUGUGGUGAAGAUAGAGCAUAGCCAGACUAUAUGAUUUUGUAGGGAUAACUUUCUUUGGCCAUGUUAUUUUGAGAAGACAUAAUUGCUUAGUUAGUAUGCUUGAAGUAUUAUUACUUUUAUGUCAAUAUUAAACUUUUAUCUUGAAUCUUUCGGAUCUGAAUAUUCAUACCACAAUUAAGAGAAUUACAUUGAAAUUAUGCCAAGUAGCAUUCCACAUCAAAAAUUCUGUUUUUAUCAUUUACCUACUCGAGGACGAGCAGGAAUUAAGCUUGGGGAUGCUUGAUACGUCUCCAACGUAUCUAUAAUUUUUUAUUGCUCCAUGCUAUAUUAUAUUCUGUUUCGGACAUUAUUGGGCUUUACUAUACACUUUUAUAUUAUUUUUGGACUAACCUAUUAACCGGAGGCCCAGCCCAGAAUUGCUGUUUUUUGCCUAUUUCGGAGUUUCGCAGAAAAAGAAUAUCAAACGGAGUCCAAAUGGAAUGAAACGUUCGGGAACAUGAUUUUCGGAACGAACGUGAUCCAGAGGACUUGGACCCUACGUCAAGCCAGGAAGGCACGAGGUAGGGGGGCACGCCUACCCCCCUGGGCGCGCCCUCCACCCUCGUGGGCCCCACGUUGCUCCACCGACGUACUUCUUCCUCCUAUAUAUAUACCUACGUACCCCCAAACUACUAGAUACGGAGCCAAAAACCUAAUUCCACCGCCGCAACCUUCUGUACCCGUGAGAUCCCAUCUUGGGGCCUUUUCCGGAGCUCCGCCGGAGGGGGCAUCGAUCACAGAGGGCUUCUACAUCAACACCAUAGCCUCUCCGAUGAUGUGUGAGUAGUUUACCUCAGACCUUCGGGUCCAUAGUUAUUAGCUAGAUGGCUUCUUCUCUCUUUUUGGAUCUCAACACAAUGUUCUCCCCCCUCUUGUGGAGAUCUAUUCGAUGUAAUCUUCUUUUGCGGUGUGUUUGUUGAGACCGAUGAAUUGUGGGUUUAUGAUCAAGUUUAUCUAUGAACAAUAUUUGAAUCUUCUCUGAAUUCUUUUAUGUAUGAUUGGUUAUCUUUACAAGUCUCUUCGAAUUAUCAAUUUGGUUUGGCCUACUAGAUUGAUCUUUCUUGCAAUGGGAGAAGUGCUUAGCUUUGGGUUCAAUCUUGCGGUGUCCUUUUCCAGUGACAGUAGGGGCAGCAAGGCACGUAUUGUAUUGUUGCCAUCGAGGAUAACAAGAUGGGGUUUAUAUCAUAUUGCAUGAGUUUAUCCCUCUACAUCAUGUCAUCUUACUUAAAGCGUUACUCUGUUCUUUUGAACUUAAUACUCUAGAUGCAUGCUAGAUAGCGGUCGAUGUGUGGAGUAAUAGUAGUAGAUGCAGGCAGGAGUCGGUCUACUUGUCUCGGACGUGAUGCCUAUAUACAUGAUCAUGCCUAGAUAUUCUCGUAACUAUGCGCAAUUCUAUCAAUUGCUCAACAGUAAUUUGUUCACCCACCGUAAUACUUAUGCUCAUGAGAGAAGCCACUAGUGAAACCUAUGGCCCCCGGGUCUAUUUUCUAUCAUAAUAAUCUUUCAGCACUUAGUUAUUUCUGGCGUCGUCUUUAUUUUGCUUUCUUUACUUUGCAUCUUUAUCAUAAAAAUACCAAAAAUACAAUCUUAUCAUAUCUAUCAGAUCUCACUCUCGUAAGUGACCGUGAAGGGAUUGACAACCCCUUUAUUGCGUUGGUUGCGAGGAUUUAUUUGUUUGUGUAGGUGCGAGGGACUCGUGUGUGGCCUCCUACUGGAUUGAUACCUUGGUUCUCAAAAACUGAGGGAAAUACUUACGCUACUUUGCUGCAUCACCCUUUCCUCUUCAAGGGAAAACCAACGCAGUGCUCAAGAAGUAGCAGCAUGCCAUGCCCGGAGCCAGGCCGACCGAGGGGGUGAGCUCGCCUUCAUGGAGCCUCGAAUCUGCGGCUUGUCCAUGGAAGUUCAACUACGGGACCAUCACGUUUCAUCCACUGCCACUCGCGAUUCCCACGAUGCCACUCCAACCCACGGCACCACGUCCCCCGACGUGCGCCUCACCCCUCUCGGCUGCACCGCCCCUGUGCCUUUGUGUGCAUGACAUGUGGGUCACCUUAAAUGCGGCGAGCAUCAAGUUUCUACCACAGCCAUACACGAUUCCCACGAUUCCCACGACGCCGCACGAACCCAUGACACCACACGUCCCGCACCAUCGAAUUUUCAUCCAGCGGCUAUGACACAUUUCGUCCCGGGCAUCAAUCCUCAACUGGAGUACUUCUGUACUACAGGUAGUACCCGCCGGUGUGGCCAUCUACGCUUCGUAACGCCCCGACGCCCAGUUGUGGCACCCUCGCCACGGCCACGCCACCACCGGCCGGUUCAUCUCGAACGAGUGAGUCACGAACCACACCACCACCAUGAGAAUGACAUGUGGGCCAGCCGCAUUUAAGGUCCGCAUGUCAUUGACUCAUAGGCCGGGCACUAAGCCACUGAAGUUCGGUCCCGUGGGCCCCGAGACGGAAAUGUAACUCCUGUGGCAGGCCUUGUGGUGCUCCCGCAGUACGAGCUCGUGCCAAACCCGGAAUUUGUUUCUUACUACUACCAACUACUAGUAAGGUACACGUGCAUUGCACGCAUGAGAUUCUGGUGGUUUGUGCAUUAUGCUUCUACAUGUGGAGUCUUCUAGAUUCUACAUGUGGCAAAAUCUGGUGGAAUGUAGGUGAUAUCCAACGGCCAGUAGUGCUCGGAUUUGCCAUCUUUGUACCGUCGGAUUGGCUUCAUCCAACGACCAACUUUCAAAGUUAUGGUUUGGUUUGCAGCCUAAGGUUGCCACGCCUAAGCUUAGGCGUGCUGGCAUGUGUUUGGUUCAUUGCUACACUUGUGGCUUGCCACACUUUUCUAGCUACAUGGUCCACAUGUCAUAGACUCAACUUCUUGCCAAAUCUUGCCACACUUGUGGUGGCCAUUUUGUUAGCCACAUUUUUUGUGGCAGACACACUUUGCCUAAGCUUAGUUGUGGAAAAGUUAGUCAUGAAUGAAGUUCAACCAUGGAGUCUUCUAGAUUCUACAUGUGGCAGAAUCUGGUGGAAUGUAGAUGAUAUCCAACGGCCAGUAGUGCUCGGAUUUGCCAUCUUUGUAUCGUCGGAUUGGCUUCAUCCAACGACCAACUUUCAAAGUUAUGGUUUGGUUUGCAGCCUAACGUUGCCACGCCUAAGCUUAGGCGUGCCACAAGUGUGUUUGGUUGUGUUCUCGUCUCAGCAUAGUUGUUCCCUCUUCAUGCAUGCUCAACUCAACACCCCUCUUCAUGUAUGCUCUCUUCAUGCAUGCUUCUAGUGUAUUUGUGCUAAUCUAGUGUGGACUCGUGCACCCUCCAUACACUCUACCAAACACCCAAAAAUGGGUCGAGAAGGGAACUCUUGGGAUCAUGCACCCUUCAUACACCCUACCGAACACACCAGUCAUGUGUUUGGUUCAUUGCUACACUUGUGUCUUGCCACACUUUUCUAGCUACAUGGUCCACAUGUCAUAGACUCAACUUCUUGCCAAAUCUUGCCACACUUGUGGUGGCCAUUUUGUUAGCCACGUUUUUUGUUUCAAACGCACUUUGCCUAAGCUUAGUUGUGGCAAAGUUAGUCAUGAAUGAAGUUCAACCAUGGAGUCUUCUAGAUUCUACAUGUGGCAGAAUCUGGUGGAAUGUAGAUGAUAUCCAACGGCCAGUAGUGCUCAGAUUUGCCAUCUUUGUACCGUCGGAUUGGCUUCAUCCAACGACCAACUUUUAAAGUUAUUCCCACACUAUAUAGGGGGUAUAGAUAUAGAUGUGCCGGCCCGUUGCAAUGGAUCCAAAGUAUAUAUGUUUAGUGGAGUGCACUCUAAACACAUUAUCUAUUUAUUUUUCUCUAACCUUUCGUAGCCAUGCAACCAAGCCACAUAAGCUUCAUGGGUGCCCCCCACAUCAUAUUAUUCAUACUACAUUGACAGAAGAAAGAUAAAUCACCCAAAACAAGAUCUUCCUGUUUUUUGUUCCUACGAUGUUGUGCCGUGCACGUACCUACUAGUUGUAUAGUGGUAGUACUAGUUGUAUAGUACAAACUGUUGGAAAUAUGCCCUAGAGGCAAUAAUAAAUGGUUAUUAUUAUAUUUCUUUGUUCAUGAUAAUUGUCUAUUGUUCAUGCUAUAACUGUGUUAUCCGGAAAUCAUAAUACAUGUGUGAAUACAUAUACCACAACGUGUCCCUAGUAAGCCUCUAGUUGACUAGCUCGUUGAUCAACAAAUAGUCAUGGUUUCCUGACUAUGGACAUUGGAUGUCAUUGAUAACGGGAUCACAUCAUUAGGAGAAUGAUGUGAUGGACAAGACCCAAUCCUAAGCAUAGCACAAAAGAUCGUGUAGUUCGUUGGCUAGAGCUUUUCCAAUGUCAAGUAUCAUUUCCUUAGACCAUGAGAUCGUGCAACUCCCGGAUACCGUAGGAGUGCUUUGGGUGUGCCAAACGUCACAACGUAACUGGGUGACUAUAAAGGUACACUACGGGUAUCUCCGAAAGUGUCUGUUGAGUUGGCACGGAUCGAGACUAGGAUUUGUCACUCCGUAUGACGGAGAGGUAUCUCUGGGCCCACUCGGUAAUGCAUCAUCAUAAUGAGCUCAAUGUGACUAAAGGAUUUAGCCACGGGAUCAUGCAUUACGGUACGAGUAAAGUGACUUGCCGUAACGAGAUUGAACAAGGUAUUGGGAUACCGACGAUCGAAUCUCGGGCAAGUAACGUACCGAUUGACAAAGGGAAUUGUAUACGGGAUUGAUUGAAUCCUUGACAUCAUGAUUCAUCCGAUGAGAUCAUCGUGGAACAUGUGGGAGCCAACAUGGGUAUCCAGAUCCCGCUGUUGGUUAUUGACCGGAGAGGCGUCUCGGUCAUGUCUGCAUGUCUCCCGAACCCGUAGGGUCUACACACUUAAGGUUCGGUGACGCUAGGGUUGUAGAGAUAUUAGUAUGCGGAAACCCGAAAGUUGUUCGGAGUCCCGGAUGAGAUCCCAGACGUCACGAGGAUUUCCGGAAUGGUCCGGAGGUGAAGAAUUAUAUAUAGGAAGUCCAGUUUCGGCCACCGGGAAAGUUUCGGGGGUUAUCGGUAUUGUACCGGGACCACCGGAAGGGUCCCGGGGGUCCACCGGGUGGGGCCACCUAUCUCAGAGGGCCCCAUGGGCUGAAGUGGGAAGGGAACCAGCCCUUAGUGGGCUGGGGCGCCCCCCAUGGGCCUCCCCCUGCGCCUAGGUUUGGAAACCCUGGGGUGGGGGCGCCUCACUUGACUUGGGGGGAAAGUUUCCCCCCUGGCCGCCGCCCCCCUUGUAGAUGGGUUCCAGGGACGGCGCCCCCCUCCAGGGGGCCUAUAUAAAGGGGGGAGGGAGGGCUGCUGUACCCUACCCUUGGCGCCUCCCUCUCCCCCUGCAACACCUCUCCCUCCCGCUUGCGCUUGGCGAAGCCCUGCCGGGAUCCCGCUACUUCCACCACCACGCCGUCGUGCUGCUGGAUCUCCAUCAACCUCUCCUUCCCCCUUGCUGGAUCAAGAAGGAGGAGACGUCGCUGAUCCGUACGUGUGUUGAACGCGGAGGUGCCGUCCGUUCGGCACUCGGUCAUCGGUGAUUUGGAGCACGGCGAGUACGACUCCAUCAACCCCGUUCAUUAGAACGCUUCCGCUCGCGAUCUACAAGGGUAUGUAGAUGCACUCCUUUCCCCUCGUUGCUAGUAUACUCCAUAGAUGGAUCUUGGUGAUGUGUAGGAAAUUUUAAAAUUCUGCUACGAUCCCCAACAGUGGCAUCAUGAGCCAGGCCUAUGCGUAGUUACUAUGCACGAGUAGAACACAAAGCAGUUGUGGGCGUAGAUGUUGCCAAUUCUUCUUGCCGCUACUAGUCUUAUCUUGUUUCGGCGGUAUUGUGGGAUGAAGCGGCCCGGACCGACCUUACACGUACGCUUACGUGAGACAGGUUCCACCGACUGACAUGCACUAGUUGCAUAAGGUGGCUAGCGGGUGUUUGUCUCUCCCACUUUAGUCGGAACGGAUUCGAUGAAAAGGGUCCUUAUGAAGGGUAAAUAGAAAUUGGCAUAUCACGUUGUGGUUUUACAUAGGUAAGAAACGUUCUUGCUAGAAACCUAUACAAGCCACGUAAAAACUUGCAACAACAAUUAGAGGACGUCUAACUUGUUUUUGCAGCAUGUGCCUUGUGAUGUGAUAUGGCCAGAAGAUGUGAUGAAUGAUAUAUGUGAUGUAUGAGAUUGAUCAUAUUCUUGUAAUAGGAAUCACGACUUGCAUGUCGAUGAGUAUGACAACCGGCAGGAGCCAUAGGAGUUGUCUUUAUUUUUUUGUAUGACCUGCGUGUCAUUGAAUAAUGCCAUGUAAAUUACUUUACUUUAUUGCUAAACGCGUUAGCCAUAGAAGUAGAAGUAAUCGUUGGCGUGACAACUUCAUGAAGACACAAUGAUGGAGAUCAUGAUGAUGGAGAUCAUGAUGAUGGAGAUCAUGGUGUCAUGCCGGUGACGAAGAUGAUCAUGGUGCCCCGAAGAUAGAGAUCAAAGGAGCAAAAUGAUAAUGGCCAUAUCAUGUCACUAUUUGAUUGCAUGUGAUGUUUAUCAUGUUUUGCAUCUUAUUUGCUUAGAACGACGGUAGUAAGUAAGAUGAUCCCUUAUAAUAAUUUCAAGAAAGUGUUCCCCCUAACUGUGCACCGUUGCGAAGGUUCGUUGUUUCGAAGCACCACGUGAUGAUCGGGUGUGAUAGAUUCUAACGUUCGCAUACAACGGGUGUUGACGAGCCUAGCAUGUACAGACAUGGCCUCGGAACACACGCAAUACACUUAGGUUGACUUGACGAGCCUAGCAUGUACAGACAUGGCCUCGGAACACGGAAGACCGAAAGGUCGAGCAUGAGUCGUAUAGAAGAUACGAUCAACAUGGAGAUGUUCACCGAUCUUGACUAGUCUGUCUCACGUGAUGAUCGGACACGGCCUAGUUAACUCGGAUCAUGUUUCACUUAGAUGACUAGAGGGAUGUCUAUCUAAGUGGGAGUUCAUUGAGUAAUUUGAUUAGAUGAACUUAAUUAUCAUGAACUUAGUCUAAAAUCUUUACAAUAUGUCUUGUAGAUCAAAUGGCCCACGUUGUCCUCAACUUCAACGCGUUCCUAGAGAAAACCAAGCUGAAAGAUGAUGGCAGCAACUAUACGGACUGGGUCCGGAACCUGAGGAUCAUCCUCAUAGCUGCCAAGAAAGAUUAUGUCCUAGAAGCACCGCUAGGUGAAGCACCCAUCCCAGACAACCAAGACGUUAUGAACGCUUGGCAAUCAUGUGCUGAUGAUUACUCCCUCGUUCAGUGCGGCAUGCUUUACAGCUUAGAACCGGGGCUCCAAAAGCGUUUUGAGAAACAUGGAGCAUAUGAGAUGUUCGAAGAGCUGAAAAUGGUUUUCCAAGCUCAUGCCCGGGUCGAGAGAUAUGAAGUCUCCGACAAGUUCUUCAGCUGUAAAAUGGAGGAAAAUAGUUCUGUUAGUGAGCACAUACUCAGAAUGUCUGGGUUACACAACCGCUUGUCUCAGCUGGGAGUUAAUCUCCUGGAUGACGCGGUCAUUGACAGAAUCCUUCAGUCGCUUCCACCGAGCUACAAGAGCUUUGUGAUGAACUUCAAUAUGCAGGGGAUGGAAAAGACCAUUCCUGAGGUAUAUUCAAUGCUGAAAUCAGCGGAGGUGGAGAUCAGAAAGGAACAUCAAGUGUUGAUGGUGAAUAAAACCACUAAGUUCAAGAAAGGCAAGGGUAAGAAGAACUUCAAGAAGGACGGCAAGGGAGUUGCCGCGCCCGGUAAGCCAGUUGCCAGGAAGAAGUCGAAGAAUGGACCCAAGCCUGAGACUGAGUGCUUUUAUUGCAAGGGAAGUGGUCACUGGAAGCGGAACUGCCCCAAAUACUUAGCGGACAAGAAGGCCGGCAACACCAAAGGUAUAUGUGAUAUACAUGUAAUUGAUGUGUACCUUACCAGUACUCGUAGUAGCUCCUGGGUAUUUGAUACCGGUGCGGUUGCUCAUAUUUGUAACUCAAAACAGGAACUGCGGAAUAAGCGGAGACUGGCAAAGGACGAGGUGACGAUGCGCGUCGGGAAUGGUUCCAAGGUCGAUGUGAUCGCCGUCGGCACGCUACCUCUACAUUUACCUACGGGAUUAGUUUUAAACCUCAAUAAUUGUUAUUUAGUGCCAGCUUUGAGCAUGAACAUUGUAUCUGGAUCUCGUUUAAUUCGAGAUGGCUACUCAUUUAAAUCCGAGAAUAAUUGUUGUUCUAUUUAUAUGAGAGAUAUGUUUUAUGGUCAUGCCCCGCUGGUCAAUGGUUUAUUCUUGAUGAAUCUCGAACGUGAUGUUACACAUAUUCAUAGUGUGAAUACCAAAAGAUGUAAAGUUGAUAACGAUAGUCCCACAUACUUGUGGCACUGCCGCCUUGGUCACAUUGGUGUCAAGCGCAUUAAGAAGCUCCAUGCAGAUGGACUUUUGGAGUUUCUUGAUUACGAAUCAUUUGACACGUGCGAACCAUGCCUCAUGGGUAAGAUGACCAAAAUUCUGUUCUCCGGAACAAUGGAGCGAGCAACCAAUUUAUUGGAAAUCAUACAUACCGAUGUGUGCGGUCCAAUGAGUGUUGAGGCUCGCGGAGGAUAUCGUUAUGUUCUCACUCUCACUGAUGACUUAAGUAGAUAUGGAUAUGUCUACCUAAUGAAACACAAGUCUGAAACCUUUGAAAAGUUCAAGGAAUUUCAGAGUGAGGUUGAGAAUCAACGUGACAGGAAAAUAAAGUUCUUACGAUCAGAUCGUGGUGGAGAAUAUUUAAGUCACGAAUUUGGUACGCACUUAAGGAAAUGUGGAAUCGUUUCACAACUCACGCCGCCUGGAACACCUCAGCGAAACGGUGUGUCCGAACAUCGUAAUCGCACUCUAUUGGAUAUGGUGCGAUCUAUGAUGUCUCUUACCGAUCUACCGCUCUCAUUUUGGGGCUAUGCUUUAGAGACUGCCGCAUUCACUUUAAAUAGGGCUCCGUCGAAAUCCGUUGAGACGACACCGUAUGAAUUAUGGUUUGGGAAGAAACCUAAGCUGUCGUUUCUAAAAGUUUGGGGAUGCGAUGCUUAUGUCAAGAAACUUCAACCUGAAAAGCUCGAACCCAAGUCGGAAAAAUGCGUCUUCAUAGGAUACCCUAAGGAAACCAUUGGGUAUACCUUCUACCUCAGAUCCGAAGGCAAGAUCUUUGUUGCCAAGAAUGGGUCCUUUCUGGAGAAAGAGUUUCUCUCAAAAGAAUUAAGUGGGAGGGAAGUGGAACUUGAUGAGGUGAUAGUCACCCCUUCUGAACCGGAAAGUAGCGCAGCGCGGGAAGAUGUUCCUGUGGUGCCUACACCGACUGGGGAGGAAGUUAAUGAUGAUGAUCAUGAAGCUUCAGAUCAAGUUACUGCUGAACUUCGUAGGUCCACAAGGACACGUUCCGCACCAGAGUGGUACGGCAACCCUGUCCUGGAAAUCAUGUUGUUAGACAAUGGUGAACCUUCGAACUAUGAAGAAGCGAUGGCGGGCCCGGAUUCCGACAAAUGGCUAGAAGCCAUGAAAUCCGAGAUAGGAUCCAUGUAUGAAAACGAAGUAUGGACUUUGACUGACUUGCCCGAUGAUCGGCGAGCCAUAGAAAAUAAAUGGAUCUUUAAGAAGAAGACAGACGCGGAUGGUAAUGUGACCAUCUAUAAGGCUCGACUUGUCGCUAAGGGUUAUCGACAAGUUCAAGGGGUUGACUACGAUGAGACUUUCUCACCCGUAGCGAAGUUGAAGUCCGUCCGAAUCAUGUUAGCAAUUGCCGCAUUCUAUGAUUAUGAGAUAUGGCAAAUGGACGUCAAAACGGCAUUCCUUAAUGGCUUUCUUAAGGAAGAAUUGUAUAUGAUGCAGCCGGAAGGUUUUGUCGAUCCUAAGAAUGCUAACAAGGUAUGCAAGCUCCAGCGCUCCAUCUAUGGGCUGGUGCAAACAUCUCGGAGUUGGAACAUUCGUUUUGAUGAGAUGAUCAAAGCGUUUGGGUUUACACAGACUUAUGGAGAAGCCUGUGUUUACAAGAAAGUGAGUGGGAGCUCUGUAGCAUUUCUCUUAUUAUAUGUGGAUGACAUACUAUUGAUGGGAAAUGAUAUAGAAUUCUUGGAAAGUAUAAAGGCCUAUUUGAAUAAGUGUUUUUCAAUGAAGGACCUUGGAGAAGCUGCUUAUAUAUUAGGCAUCAAGAUCUAUAGAGAUAGAUCAAGACGCCUCAUUGGUCUUUCACAGAGUACGUACCUUGACAAGAUAUUGAAGAAGUUCAAUAUGGAUCAGUCCAAGAAGGGGUUCUUGUCUGUAUUGCAAGGUGUGCAAUUGAGCACGGCUCAAUGCCCGACCACGGCAGAAGAUAGAGAAAAGAUGAGUGUCAUCCCCUAUGCCUCGUCCAUAGGGACUAUUAUGUAUGCCAUGUUGUGUACCAGACCUGAUGUAAACCUUGCCGUAAGUUUGGUAGGAAGGUACUAAAGUAAUCCCGGCAUGGAACACUGGACAGCGGUCAAGAAUAUCCUGAAGUACCUGAAGAGGACUAAGGAUAUGUUUCUCGUUUAUGGAGGUGACGAAGAGCUCGUCAUAAAGGGUUACGUCGAUGCUAGCUUCGACACAGAUCUGGAUGACUCGAAGUCACAAACCGGAUACGUGUAUAUUUUGAAUGGAGGGGCAGUAAGCUGGUGCAGUUGCAAGCAAAGCGUCGUGGCGGGAUCUACAUGUGAAGCGGAGUACAUGGCAGCCUCAGAGGCAGCGCAAGAAGCAAUCUGGAUGAAGGAGUUCAUUACCGACCUAGGGGUGAUUCCCAAUGCGUCGGGCCCGAUGACUCUCCUCUGUGACAACACUGGAGCUAUUGCCCUUGCCAAGGAGCCCAGGUUUCACAGGAAGACCAGGCAUAUCAAGCGUCGCUUCAACUCCAUUCGUGAAAGUGUUCAAAAUGGAGACAUAGAUAUUUGUAAAGUACAUAUGGACCUGAAUGUAGCAGAUUCGUUGACUAAACCUCUCCCUAGAGCAAAACAUGAUCAACACCAGGACGCUAUGGGUGUUCGAUUCAUCACAAUGUAACUAGAUUAUUGACUCUAGUGCAAGUGGGAGACUAUUGGAAAUAUGCCCUAGAGGCAAUAAUAAAUGGUUAUUAUUAUAUUUCUUUGUUCAUGAUAAUUGCCUAUUGUUCAUGCUAUAACUGUGUUAUCCGGAAAUCAUAAUACAUGUGUGAAUACAUAGACCACAACAUGUCCCUAGUAAGCCUCUAAUUGACUAGCUCGUUGAUCAACAGAUAGUCAUGGUUUCCUGACUAUGGACAUUGGAUGUCAUUGAUAACGGGAUCACAUCAUUAGGAGAAUGAUGUGAUGGACAAGACCCAAUCCUAAGCAUAGCACAAAAGAUCGUGUAGUUCGUUUGCUAGAGCUUUUCCAAUGUCAAGUAUCAUUUCCUUAGACCAUGAGAUCAUGCAACUCCCGGAUACCGUAGGAGUGCUUUGGGUGUGCCAAACGUCACAACGUAACUGGGUGACUAUAAAGGUACACUACGGGUAUCUCCGAAAGUGUCUGUUGAGUUGGCACGGAUCGAGACUGGAUUUGUCACUCCGUAUGACGGAGAGGUAUCUCUGGGCCCACUCCGUAAUGCAUCAUCAUAAUGAGCUCAAUGUGACUAAAGUAGUUAGCCACAAGAUCAUGCAUUACGGUACGAGUAAAGUGACUUGCCGGUAACUAGAUUGAACAAGGUAUUGGGAUACCGACGAUCGAAUCUCGGGCAAGUAACGUACCGAUUGACAAAGGGAAUUGUAUACGAGAUUGAUUGAAUCCUCGACAUCGUGGUUCAUCCGAUGAGAUCAUCGUGGAACAUGUGGGAGCCAACAUGGGUAUCCAGAUCCCGCUGUUGGUUAUUGACCGAAGAGGCGUCUCGGUCAUGUCUGCAUGUCUCCCGAACCCGUAGGGUCUACACACUUAAGGUUCGGUGACGCUAGGGUUGUAGAGAUAUUAGUAUGCGGAAACCCGAAAGUUGUUCGGAGUUCCGGAUGAGAUCCCGGACGUCACGAGGAGUUCCGGAAUGGUCCGGAGGUGAAGAAUUAUAUAUAGGAAGUCCAGUUUCGGCCACCGGGAAAGUUUUGGGGGUUAUCUGUAUUGUACCGGGACCACCGGAAGGGUCCCGGGGGUCCACCGGGUGGGGCCACCUAUCCCGGAGGGCCCCAUGGGCUGAAUUGGGAGGGGAACCAGCCCUUAGUGGGCUGGGGCGCCCCCCAUGGGCCUCCCCCUGCGCCUAGGGUUGGAAACCCUGGGGUGGGGGCGCCCCACUUGACUUGGGGGGAAAGUUUCCCCCCUGGCCGCCGCCCCCCUUGUAGAUGGGUUCCAGGGCCGGCGCCCCCCCUCCAGGGGCCUAUAUAAAGGGGGGAGGGAGGGCUGCUGUACCCUAACCCUUGGCGCCUCCCUCUCCCCCUGCAACACCUCUCCCUCCCGCUUGCGCUUGGCGAAGCCCUGCCGGGAUCCCGCUACUUCCACCACCACGCCGUCGUGCUGCUGGAUCUCCAUCAACCUCUCCUUCCCCCUUGCUGGAUCAAGAAGGAGGAGACGUCGCUGCUCCGUACGUGUGUUGAACGCGGAGGUUCCGUCCGUUCGGCACUCGGUCAUCGGUGAUUUGGAUCACGGCGAGUACGACUCCAUCAACCUCGUUCAUUAGAACGCUUCCGCUCGCGAUCUACAAGGGUAUGUAGAUGCACUCCUUUCCCCUCGUUGCUAGUAUACUCCAUAGAUGGAUCUUGGUGAUGCAUAGGAAAUUUUAAAAUUCUGCUACGAUCCCCAACACAAACUUGGUACUAGUAGGAGCAGAGUAGUACGGAAUGCUCCUACUCUAUCAACGAGCCCCAUCUGACACCAAAUUUCUUGGCUUCCGUGCUACAGCUAGAUCUUCCCCUCGUUUCUGUUUUCCAACCCGGCGGCGGGCAGGGUGCAGUUUGCCAAUAGUCGGUUUGCUCAACGGCGGUCCCACAUGAAAGUGAAAAUGCUAGGCAACACGCCUUCCCUAAGCUAUGUGUCGUGCCGGACGGGCCGUCGAGUACUCCCGAUUCCCGGCAUGUGUGGGGGGAGUGCGACGCAAACGUGGCAGGCCUUUUCCUUUUACUAGCAAUGUGCCCGUGCGUUGCGACGGAUCCAAAGUAGUAGAAUAGUAGUACUUGUUCACAAACUUGAAAGAAAUCACUCUUGUUUUGAUAUACUCCUAAUAUAUUACUCCCUCCGUUCCUAAAUAUUUGGGUUUUUAGAGAUUUCAAAUGGACUAUCACAUACAGAUUAUAUAGACAUAUUUUGAAGUGUAGAUUCACUCAUUUUGCUCCGUAUGUAGUCACUUAUUGAAAUCUCUAGAAAGACAAAUAUUUAGGAAUGGAGGGAGUACUUUUCACUCAAAAUAUAUUUCUCAGGCUGUUUUGAUGAGGUGAGGGAGGGAUGUGGUUGCUUUCAAGUUAAUAAGGGGUUUUCUGCAAAUUGGAGCAGAGAAGUGGGCUAUUGUUGCAAAAAUGCCACAACUUACCUCACAGCCGUUAGAUGCAGAUCUAAUGGUCAGAAACGACGGAUGGCAGACACACCACCAUCACCAACUGAGUCUUUUAUAGGAGUAUAUAUUUCUCAGGCUGUUUUGAUGAGGUGAGGGAGGGAUGUGGUUGCUUUCAAGAUAAUAAGGGGUUUUCUACAAAUUGGAGCAGAGAAGUGGGCUAUUGUUGCAAAAAUGCCACAACUUACCUCACAGCCGUUAGAUGCAGAUCUAAUGGUCAGAAACGACAGAUGGCAGACACACCACCAUCACCAACUAAGUCUUUUAUAGGAGUAGGAGUAGAGAAACAUGUAUAAAUUGUAACAUUUUGGUUCUGCUCCUUGGCACGAUCGAUAGAUAGAAAUAACGAUUGGAAACGCUAGGGCGGGGCUAUUUCCGCCAGAUAAGCAGGGUACGUAGUAGCUAGGUUGGCGCAUCAUCGGUUUGGUCACACGCGGUCCGACAUGUUCUAGUGUUUCUAGCAAGAUGCCCGCGCAUUGCACGAAGUUGAUGGAAAAGGUAAGCACAACUUAUAAAUUGACGGAUGGAGUACUAGUUACAGUGAUGCAUAUAAUUAAGCAAAGGAAUCGCACAUGUCGGUAUUGACUGGAACGAGAAUACAACACCACAAUAAGAAUUAAGGCCACGAUGAUGAUGCGAUCGCAGUGGUGGUUACAGAAGGCAAGAAGAAAGAUGCAUCCAUCAACGUACAACCUCCUCCUCCUCAACUUAGUGCGCCGGGCCACCGACCGGCGGCUAAGGAGCGGCGGCUUUUGUGGCGAGGUCGAGGUGCUUCUCAGCAAAGGCAUCCAAGGCUUCCAGCCGGUUGAGGAAGGCCAACGUCGUAGCGUCCUCACUGGCCUUGUAGAUACCAAUGUACACGAUUUGCUCGUACACGUGGAUGUGUAGGUCGACGAAUUCUUGCAUGGCGAGGCGCCUCGCGGCGAGCACGACCACCAGGUGGACAUCCUUCAUGGCGUCGGCGGGCAAUCGCAGGGCCACCAGUGCUUGAAAGAGGUUCCGGCCAUGGAGGCCGAUUAGGGUGGCAGGCAAUGAGGAGCCCGGGCGCGCGGGCUGGAGGAGUACGGCGAUGUCGUCCGCGAGCUUCUUGAGGACGGUGAACUUGUUGGUGGUGGCAACGAUCAUCUGGUCCAACUGAGAGUCAUAGUUGGCGUCGAUGGCGGCCAUCCACCAGCCGGUCUCUAACACCGUCUGGAGACGAUCCUCGGCGCCAUGCCACAGGCCGACGUCGUGGACCAUCUGGCACAGCCGCUGGCCGCUCGCGCGCAUCGCCGCCAUGGGUCUGGAGUGAGCUCUUUUGCGCUUAGUGUAGGUUCUUAGGCAAAUGCUUAGGUGCGUAUGAUGUGGAGAUGCAUUGGAAUGGAGGGACGCCUUUAUAUGAGGGCAAACUGCGUUGCAUUCACAUUGUGCAGCCUCUUUUCCUGGUCCUCCUCCCAUUACUUCCCUCAUGCAUUAAUUGAAGGGGGAUGCAUUGGCCGUUCAACAUUUCGGGAACCGCUACUCCCUCGCUCGUCUGCAUUAAAUUCGUAUCGGGAACUGCGCCGCCCGCUGUCAAAUCAAAUAGUACUGCGCCGCCCGCUGCACGCCCGGCUGAACACGCCUCCUCGCCUCCAUCAAACCCCUCAGUUAAACCCGCAUGCAAACCGAGAAACCUACUCCGGCCACACGUCCGUUCAUGAGCGGGCCGGAAUUAAACGCAACAUCGGCCGAGCUCCUCCCGUCCGCCCUCAGUUUAAACGAGGCCAGACGCCGGCCAAGCUCCUACCGUCCGCCCUCUAUUUACACGAGGCCAUACAGACAGCGGGCAAGAAUCGCACCCCUCCGCCACUCCCCCAUCUCCGCCUUCACCAUUUUCUCCACUCUUCCGAUGGCUUCCGAGGAGCCGUUCUCCGGCAUAUUACCCUGCUGGGUGGCCCGCCGAGCCCACCGGAUACGGGCGAGGCCACUCGGUGCUUCACCAACCUCGCUUGGCCCAACGGAGCCAGUUGCCGCCCCAAGCAGGCGCGUGGUUCAGCAACUUGCCGCUCUAGUUCAGCUCGAUGAGGAGUGGCGAGUUGCUCCACGCCGGCACGGCGACGAGCACACCGGUACGGGCAUCGCCGCUGUCGCGUCGUACCACGCCUCACGUGUCUGUGGGCGCGCCUCCCGUGCCUGUGGCAGCGCCAUGCAGGCAGACACAGAAGCCGGGUGCAUGGACAGCGACGAGUCGGUGGCCAGCUUCUCCGUGUCCGCCGCCAUCAUCGAGGAUAAGUAGAACACGGGAGACCGCCGCCACUUGGGUCCCAUGAAGGCCACCGCCGAGGCGACGACUACGCAUUCAGGUGGUUUCUUUGCUUCUUCGUCUCUUCCGAGGACCUUCGUCGACCCCGCAAAGUGUCUGCCGGACAUGAGGAAGACAAAGGGAUCCACGGGCGGCCAUUUAGAUUAUGUACUCCCUCUCCAGCUGGUGGGAAAUUUUUGUUCUAAGAAUGGAUAAAUUGUAUGUAUCUAUAACUAAAAUAAGUCUAGAUACAUCCAUUUCUAGGACAAGUAUUUCCGGACGGAUGGAGUAUUAAUUAUACCAAGAUAGCCGGAUUGGCACCGCUUAGUUCAUGUAAAUGUAAUGAAAUCCAUCAUGUUUAUAUGAAGAUCCGGCUUUUUUAUACGAAAUCCUUCAUACUUAUAUGUAAUCAGUCCGUGUUUGCAUGAAUUUCAUCUGGUUGGUUAGAGUUGUGAAAAUGUAUGCCGCUGGCAUUUGAUGUCGUCCUCCGCGGAAGGAAACGGGAGGAAAUUUGCCGGCUGCCGUUGGAGAUGCUCUUAUGCUGUAAAUAAUAGAGUGACAUCCAAUCCAUUUGAGUUAAUUGAGUGUAUGAGUGUCCCUCUAUAAAAAGUUAAUUGCAUGUACAGUGUAUAGGUGACUUGCAGGGUGGCUACAGCUUCGUACAGAAAGUUAAAAAGAAACAAGUCCAUCCUUAAUCUUGUAUUCUAAGUACUCUGUGGGUUCCACUGUCAGUACAGUAGCGAAAGAAGUAUAUAUUAAAUAAGUAAUAUAUAAUAUAAAACUCUAAAGUUAAAGACAUAAUUCAAACUCAUGUCAUCACGUUGCGAGCAUCCGGCGCUAACCAGUCCAGCACAUUUUUGUUGUAGACCAUGCUGCUGAUAUAUCUCCAUGUCUACUCUUAUACUCCAUCCGUUCCUAAAUAUUUGUCUUUUUCAGAUUUCAAAUGGACUACCACAUAUGGAUGUGUAUGUAGACAUAUUUUAGAGUGUAGAUUCACUCAUUUUGCUCCAUAUGUAGUCACUUGUUGAAAUCUCUAAAAAACAAAUAUUUACGAACGGAGGGAGUAGAAAACAGAGUUGGUGAUGAUGGUGUGCAUGCCAUCCCGCAAUAUAGGCCGUCGGAUUUAUAUCUAACGGAUAGGAAGAAAACUAUGGCAAUUUUGCAAAAAAUAUACCCACACCCCUCUCCACGUUCGCAAAUACGGCCUUCUCUCGUUCACCUUUUCUAUCACAAGAUAAACUACUCAUACAAAUGCAUCUUGAUGUUCCGUGCAACGCACGGGCAUCUAGCUAGUUUCUUUUAAAAUAGUUACUGCGAUAAUUGGGUUGAAGUGAUAUAUUUUAUGUGUGCCCCGAAUGAUUUCGGACUCACUAGUAGUAACAAAGAAAAGGUUGCCUUGUUAAUUAACAGAAAACAGGGUGAAAACUAUCACAUGAGGCCGGUAAAAACGAGGCACAUUGGGUUCAGCGUCAUCGUCACUACAGCUGUGCGCCCGCGAGAAGUCUACAUAUCGAGGGGGCUACUGAGCGAGGCACAGAGACACAAUGUUCGAGAGAGAAACCAAUUGACAGAUUACGAUCAUAUUGAGUUGUCACCCUUCUGCUGUCAUUGUUGGGGNNNNNNNNNNNNNNNNNNNNNNNNNNNNNNNNNNNNNNNNNNNNNNNNNNNNNNNNNNNNNNNNNNNNNNNNNNNNNNNNNNNNNNNNNNNNNNNNNNNNNNNNNNNNNNNNNNNNNNNNNNNNNNNNNNNNNNNNNNNNNNNNNNNNNNNNNNNNNNNNNNNNNNNNNNNNNNNNNNNNNNNNNNNNNNNNNNNNNNNNNNNNNNNNNNNNNNNNNNNNNNNNNNNNNNNNNNNNNNNNNNNNNNNNNNNNNNNNNNNNNNNNNNNNNNNNNNNNNNNNNNNNNNNNNNNNNNNNNNNNNNNNNNNNNNNNNNNNNNNNNNNNNNNNNNNNNNNNNNNNNNNNNNNNNNNNNNNNNNNNNNNNNNNNNNNNNNNNNNNNNNNNNNNNNNNNNNNNNNNNNNNNNNNNNNNNNNNNNNNNNNNNNNNNNNNNNNNNNNNNNNNNNNNNNNNNNNNNNNNNNNNNNNNNNNNNNNNNNNNNNNNNNNNNNNNNNNNNNNNNNNNNNNNNNNNNNNNNNNNNNNNNNNNNNNNNNNNNNNNNNNNNNNACACUUACAUAUCCCUACUCUUAUAAAAACAGAGUUGGUGAUGAUGGUGUUCCUGCCAUCCUGCAAUAUAGGCCAUCCGAUUUAUACCCGACGGAUAGGAAGGAAACUGUGGCAAUUUUUCAAAAAGAUACCCACACCCCUCUCCGCAUUUGCAAAUAAGGCAUUCCCUCGUUCAUCCUUUUCUCCCACAAGAUAAACUACUCAUACAAAUGCAUCUUGAUGUUCGGUGCAACGCAUGGGCAUCUUGCUAGUAGGGAGAAGGAGUUUGUGUGACACAUAUCUAGCUAUAUUAAUGGAUAGGUAGAUAGCAUUUGUGCGAGGCAUACUUAAAGCAUCACGAAGAUAAACAAAAUUGUGUGCAUGCAAGUGCCAGAAAAAAUGAAGCGAGAAACAAUGUGUGGGAGAGAGAGAGCGAAAUCUCAAAACAAAAGGUGCUCUGUUGGAAUCCCAUUGUAUGUAUUCAUAUGGUUCCGGAACUUGAGUUAACCUUAGGCAUAUGUGUGAGAGACAUUAUUAUACUUUGAGACAUUAGUAGCUGUGGGUGGGCGGAAUUAAAGGGGUGGGCGUGUUCGACAGAGAGAGCGUGUGUGUUUCUGUGUGAGAGACUUGUAGGACGGGGUAGAAAGACGAAUUCUAACCUUGACGGAGGGAGAGAAAUACACGAAGUGCGCGUGUGUAAUUCCGAUGACCACAGGGAAAUGAGAUAUGUAUGCGUGUGAGAGAGAUUGCACAAUUCAUUCACGUAUCACUAUCUAGCGAUCGUAGCGUGCAUCGCUUGAACAUAAAUCAAUAUCUACUUCGUAUCGUGGCCAAAGGUACAAUAUCGAUUCAACGCUAUAAAGAUUGGACACUCACAUAUCACAUUUUUUCUAUUUAAAUAAAACCUUUUCAGUUGUGCAUGCCAAAGUUAUAGUGAUGUUUCUUCAAACAACCAAUGUAGCUAUCAUGUACAUGCACCAUUGUUACUCUUGCAUUCAAAAUCAUUAUUCUUGGAUGAUUUAAGGUUCUAUUAUAAAGUAAUAUAUGUAAUAUUCAUAUAUGAAUUCAACGGGUACGCAAUUUAUGAAAUGGAGGCUAUGUAAUCAUAUGAGGUAACACUUUUAAGUAGCGGACUACAAUAUCCAUUUCUUUUUGUGCGCCUCUACACUAACACGUCAAUGCAUUAUGUUUAAAGUAAAUAACCAAUUGCACUAAAUUAUCUAUUUACACGAGAAAUACAUAGGCUGAGCGUUUGAUCCCUUUUUUGUGAACGCGCCACUAUACCCGUACGAUUGGCCGCGCCUGUGUCAACGUCCAAGUUAUCGGCGCAUCAUCCCGAGUUAUUGUCUUUUUUCUGGGGUGGACACACCAGUUAUUAACUGCUGACGCGUGCCCCGUGUACACAGUCUCGCAUGACCUUCCCGCUAGCACGGUCCAAAAUUAGUUGAAACUGGAUACGAACGAUCCCACGGGCGGCAAAAUCUCCCGCCUCCUUCUAAAAUUUCCGCCACCUUAGUCUUUAGCAUGCGAAAUUCCCCUUUUGUCCUUGGUGCACGGAGACCAACAGUUACAAUACCGCCCUCAUCUACAUAAUCGGUCGGGGCUGCUUUGGUAACUUCCGGUUCCCCCCACUACACGGCACCCCCAUUUCCUCUCCCCCUCCCGCAAAAACGACUAACUCCACAGCACCAGAGCAUCUCACAUCACGCCGUCCGUACUUCNNNNNNNNNNNNNNNNNNNNNNNNNNNNNNNNNNNNNNNNNNNNNNNNNNNNNNNNNNNNNNNNNNNNNNNNNNNNNNNNNNNNNNNNNNNNNNNNNNNNNNNNNNNNNNNNNNNNNNNNNNNNNNNNNNNNNNNNNNNNNNNNNNNNNNNNNNNNNNNNNNNNNNNNNNNNNNNNNNNNNNNNNNNNNNNNNNNNNNNNNNNNNNNNNNNNNNNNNNNNNNNNNNNNNNNNNNNNNNNNNNNNNNNNNNNNNNNNNNNNNNNNNNNNNNNNNNNNNNNNNNNNNNNNNNNNNNNNNNNNNNNNNNNNNNNNNNNNNNNNNNNNNNNNNNNNNNNNNNNNNNNNNNNNNNNNNNNNNNNNNNNNNNNNNNNNNNNNNNNNNNNNNNNNNNNNNNNNNNNNNNNNNNNNNNNNNNNNNNNNNNNNNNNNNNNNNNNNNNNNNNNNNNNNNNNNNNNNNNNNNNNNNNNNNNNNNNNNNNNNNNNNNNNNNNNNNNNNNNNNNNNNNNNNNNNNNNNNNNNNNNNNNNNNNNNNNNNNNNNCCCUACCGGAGCCGCUUCGCCGACAACAUCGUCAACCCCACCGGAGUAGCUUCGCCUAUACCAUUUUCAACCCUACCGGGGCCGCUUUGCCAACUCACAAGUCCACGGCCUCAGAUCCGCUUCCUCGCACCCUCAUCCAACCUACCGGAGCAACUUCUGACGCCCCGUCCACGGCCGCAGAUCCGCAUCGUCGACACCAUCCUUAACCCAACCACCGGAGCAGCUUCACCUACGCCCUCGUCCACGGCCACAGAUCCGCUUCGCCCACACCGUGGUCCACCCUACCGGAGCCGCUCCACAAACACCCUACUCGACGGUUCUAGAUCUCCCUACCGGACCCCAACAGUCAGCGGCGCGUCAUCACCCUUGACGUUUCUAACAUGAUUCCCACCGUCUGGCAAGAUGCCAAGCACCCGCCACGGCCUAGGUACUUGUCACCUUUAAACCCGUCCAGCAUCACCUGCCCGAUGUACUUCAAAUAUACUAACAGGUCGCUGUUACCUGUUAUGCAGUUUGCAAAAACUACAAGGACGAUGUUUCUUCUGGAUCUAACAGCUUGGCCAACCAAGAUCCUGGACCGAGGCAUUGCUAUGAUCUUGUAAGCGUGUCUCUCUCUCUCUUGUAUUGUUUUGUGCCUGCCAGCGUGCUUUGCUAGGAUUUUCGACCAGUAAUCCCUUUGUGCAGACAAUGAUUUCUACUACUGGCUGCUAAAUUAGGUAUGUAGAUGUCAUACAUGAUACUACCUCGUACCUCUGUUCCUAAAUAUAAGUCUUUCUAGAGAUUCCACUAUAGGCUACAUACGGAGGAAAAUGAGUGAAUCUACACUCGAAAAUGCAUCUAUAUAUAUCUGUAUGUGGUCCAUACUGGAAUCUCUACAUAGACAUAUAUUUAGGAACAGAGGCAGUACAUUACACAAAAUCGUAGGUGGCAUGUAGGAAUUCCAGUACACUACAUUAGGCUCCCUUAGAGUGCCUGCUAGUCCAGCACACAGAGUCAUGGCUAGUUUAUGCUACGCACACAAUCAUUAAUUGGUGGUUUAAAUAUGCGCAAGGGAUAUGCAAUGUAUUAUCAUGUAGAGAUGUCUAAAAUUAGCCGUGCCAACUUGCAGAUUGGGUUACACAAUGAAAAAGUACAAGAUGUAUGUGGCAAUUUCAUGGAACAUCGCAAAAAAAGGAGAGCCAGUGAUGAGCCUAUACAGUGUGCUAUGGUACGUCACUCCUCCAUUGCAAUCAUCGUGACAUGUUAUUUGUAUGUCAGUUCUAUUGGCCAAGUUUCUUAGGGACGGUUAUUACGAGUUAUCCUAAGAAAAUAAGCACCUGUGAAUAUAAGCUCCAUGUAAUAAGCAACCAGUUCUUUUCAUUGCGUUUUCAGCUUAUCUUUGGUAUGAUAAGUGAAAAGUCUAGAUUGCAUUAUAUUUUUUUAUUUUGCUGCCCAUAUGAAAAUUAAUUUGACUUGCAAACAUCACAAAUUGAACUCAGUGCAGUAAUUAAUAUGAUAGGAAAACAGACCAUCACUAUUUGCUCAAAAUGCAAAUACAAAGAUACCAUCUACUUGGCAUAAUCUACUUUGGUCAAUGUUCUCCAUAGAGAUCCCAUUGCCUAAUUUAAAUGAAAAACGCAUGACCCACAUUUAAAUGAAGAACAAUUAUUUAUUGAAAUUCGAUGGUCCAAGUGGUUGGUUAUUAUCAUAUAGCAGCGCUACCUGAAAGCAUCAUAUAGCAGCAGCAGCUCAUAGCAACUCAUCAUACAGCAGCAGCAGCAGCAACAACAGCAGUGUGCUAUUCAUCAUAUACCAGCAGCAGCUCAUAGCAAUUCAUCAUAUAGCAGCAGCAGGAGCAGCUCAUAGCAAUUCAUCAUAUAGCAGCAGCAGGAGCAGCUCAUAGCAAUUCAUCAUAUAGCAUCAGCAGGAGCAGCUCAUAGCAAUUCAUCAUACAGCAGCAGCAGGAGCAGCUUAUAGCAACUCANNNNNNNNNNNNNNNNNNNNNNNNNNNNNNNNNNNNNNNNNNNNNNNNNNNNNNNNNNNNNNNNNNNNNNNNNNNNNNNNNNNNNNNNNNNNNNNNNNNNNNNNNNNNNNNNNNNNNNNNNNNNNNNNNNNNNNNNNNNNNNNNNNNNNNNNNNNNNNNNNNNNNNNNNNNNNNNNNNNNNNNNNNNNNNNNNNNNNNNNNNNNNNNNNNNNNNNNNNNNNNNNNNNNNNNNNNNNNNNNNNNNNNNNNNNNNNNNNNNNNNNNCAUCAUAUAGCAGCAGCAGCUCAUAGCAAUUCAUCAUAUAGCAGAAGCAGCUCAUAGCAAUUCAUCAUAUAGCAGUAGCAGGAGCAGCUCAUAGCAAUGCAUCAUAUAGCAGCAGCAGAAGUAGCUCAUAGCAAUUCAUCGUAUAGUGGAUCAAAAUGAAAAUUUGGCAAAAAAUCAGAGGAGAUCCUCACCUUGUUGGAUGAGCUCAUCCUUCAACGGCACCUCAAGGCCACGGCCUGGGAGGUGGGGAGAGGGAAUAAGGUGCCUUCUGCCGCAGUGUGGCAUCAGCCAUAGUUGUGCAGCGCCUGCCGGAGUAGUGCGUUGGACGAACCACAGUGGAGCAGCUGCUGGAGACCAUGAGAAUGAGGGGCGGCACCAGAGGGAGGAGCAUCCAGGGAGAUUUGCCCCUACCCGCCGGCCAUGUAGCCUAGCUGGACAGAGCAUCGUCGGGGACCAGGCCAGAUGGGACCAGUGGCGACGGCUUGCUGGAGGAACCCUAGUGCUGCAGGCAGGGGAUCGAGGUAGAGGGAAAGGGGAGAGGAGAUGCAAGCGGGCAGGGCAAUGAACGCUUGCGUGAUUGUUUUUACUUGAAUAGGCAGACAACCGAGUCAUUUCACUAUUCCCCUUCCCUUCAAUUUUUAGUGAGGUUCUACCCGAAACAUCCCCCUCCAAAGCGAAAUUAGUUAAGCCCAGCCCAUAACUCAAAAAUGACUUCUUUACAUCUUUUAUGGCUUAUUUUGACAAUAAGCCCUGAAAAGGCGGAAUAGAACUGGCCCUUAACCUGCAAUUCAAUUAUGCGUGCAAUGAUGAAUCACUCCUGCCUGCUAUAGCGUACAUUUAGGCAUCAUCAUACAUGGCAUAACCUAAUACAUGUGCAUUCCAUUGUAGAAUCUGGAAUAUGCAAUGUUUAUGUUAGUUCAUAUGUUGCACAUGAUGUUUAAAUGCCCCUUAAAUCUGGUCAGUCAAGUGAUGGUCUCUAAGCCUCCUUCUUUGCUUCUUUUCUUGAUAUGUAAGAUUUGCUCACACAUCUGUUCAAUUGCUUGUUUGCAUCAGCCAGCCAUACUAGGACUGUUUGCUUUGAUUACUUGAUGUUCUUGACCUAACACUCUAACAGAGCUUGUCAACGAUUUAAACACUAAGGGCUGCUGUAGUGGGGCCUUUUCUAACUGAUAGGUGACAUAAAGGUUUGGUUGUACACUAAAGUAGGCUCUCCAAGAGUACCUGGAGAUCCAGUUCGAAGGUAUGCCUAGUUUUUACAUAGUGCAGACAUAAUAAAUUCUCAUUUCAUUGUGUGCAAGUGCAAGAGAUGCGGCAUGUUUCAUUAUGUGGUGUUGUUUUGUUAUAAUCUCAUCCUUUUAUGUUCACAGACUGGAAAGUAAGGGGGUGCAAUGAAGAUAAGAUUGAAGAUUUCCAAGUACAAGAUGUUAGGAAGGAGCCUUGCAAGAGAAGUAGGAGCUGCGCUGAGCCUCUUCAACCUGUUAAGGUAAGUCACUGCAUCCAACUCAACAGUUCAAUUCCUUGUUUGUUUCAGGCAUAGUUAAUUUGCUCUUUUCAAUUGCUUUAUUUGUCCUCAGUUAAUGAGAUGCCCAAAGAAUGAUGCCUGAUGUUGGGUACUUGUAUAACUAUUAGUUGACAUAAUUAAAGGUCUUAUCAUUUAAUUACUCUGCCGAAGUGUGCCUGAACCUUUGAAGUCUAUUAACCAACUAUUAUUGAAUGAGGCUCACAAUCUAGUUUAUACUAGGCUAAUGAUUGCAUAGUUUUGCUUGCUGUAGUAUGUUUGUAUGAAAUCCUCUGCUGUUCAUUAUGCUCCCUAAGACUUUAAUUGAGCUACAGAAUGGCCAACUGCUUGCUUACUUCUACCCAACGUGCUAUCUAAAUUUGUAACUUGUCUGUGUUUUGGAUUGAGCCCCAACAUCAUGCUCCUCUGGUGAGCUAAGAGAGAUUUUCAUAUGCAGGCUGCACAGACUACCUUUUUUAUAAUUUUUAAAAUAUCACCUGCUUAUGCUUCAUGACGUGUAACAUUAUUGUUAGUCCUGUUUUGCCAUGUACAAAAUAGCCUAUCUUGCUCGCUUCACUGUUGUAACUAUAUUUUUGCCCUAGUCAUGUGUACUUACAGACACAUUUCAGGAUGAAGUGGCAUCAACACAAAGAUCUGCGAGCAGUGCGGCAUGGCCGUUACCGAAUGAUUAUGGAUUGGAAUUGGAAUGUGCUGAUGUUCUCGAGCAUCAACUAGAGGUGGCAAGACAACGUGUACAUGAUUCUAAACGUACAAUCAACAAGUUGAGACUGGACAUGCAGGUAUUAGAUGCAGGAGUCAAAAAAUGAAAUAAGACACUGAGGUAACAACGAAGGAAUUGGAGAUUUUGCAGACUGAAAUUUGUGCUAUCUAAAUCCGGCCAAUCCUAUUUUCUGAAGAGAUUAUAGUUCAAAUGGUAAGUUAUGUUGAUGCGCGUCCAUGAUGUAUGAGCUGUAUUUGCCCAGUGUAUGUAAUUUGUUGUUUGUGUAUGCUUUAUUAUCACCGGUGCCGAACCAUAAUGCCCAGUGGGUAUAAUCGGCUGUAAUUUCUUUAUUGUAUAGUGUAGGAUUAUUCUACGUUUCUAUGCCUUAGUCUCUUUAUUGUAUAGCGUAUGUUUUUUAGAGGUGAUAGUAUAGAGUAGGAUAAUUCUUUGAAUAUGCUAUAUCGUUCAAACGGGGGCCAACUCGCCCAAACGUUGUAGUGACCAUGACCCUCCAUAGGUCGUACGUUCCAUGGGCCAUCUACGGGACGGACGAUCCCUGGCCUUCUGUGGUCGUCGGAUUCGUGGGCCUUCUAUGGGCUGUUGGAUCCGUGGGCCUUCUAUCGGCUGUCGGAUCCAUGGGCCAGCGGAUCCAUGGGCCGUCGGAUCAAUGGGCCGUCGGGUCAAUGGGCCUUCUACGGGCCGUCUCAUCUAUGGGCCUUGUACGGGCCGUAUAAGGGGCCGUAAACGGGCUAGAGUGGAAAUCGUAUGUUUUAUGGGCUGACCAUAACGGGUCGUUAAUCGUCCGUAUUUGAUGAUGCUAUGAAAAUGGCCCAACAGAUUAACGGGCCACAAAUGGGUCGACUGUAUCCACGGGCUGAAUUUGGCCCACAAGCAGAAAAGGCCUGUAACGGGCCGUAAGUAAACGAAUGCUGGAAAUGAGCCCAAGAAUAAAUGGGCCUUGAAAAGGCCGAAAGAUAACAUGGGCUGGAAACGGCCCAACGGUAUAAUGGGCCAUUAAUGGGUAUAAAGUGAUACAUUGUUCAUUAUGGGCCAGUUUUACCAUGGGCCGUUAAUGGGCCGAGGGUUACUAAGGGCCUCAUAUGGGCCGAAAGACGUCAUGGGCCAUGCAUGGGUCGGAAGUUAAAACGGGCUGGAAUUAUAUUAGACGGCCUAGAUGACGCUACUGGGCCUAAUUCGGAUAGGCCGUAAACGGGCCCUGGGUUAGCGGGCUGUAAAUGGGCUAUAUGCGAACAGGCCGUUAACAGGCUUGCCGUGGGCCGGCCCGCCACCUUUUGACCAAGUCAAACGGGUCGGCCUUUUCACAUGAAUGGGCCUCUAUUGGGCCGUGCCACGUGUCAACAUAUCAUAGGCGCUUUGGGUCCAAUGAGUGGAUGACAUCUGUCCCAACGACGAGCUGACACGUGUUCCCUCCAGCCAAUGAUGAUUUUACACAUGGAAAAUCCCCAUUGGUCGAGGCUGUUAACGGGUUAUCGGAUCCAAAACCGGACCCGAUAGCUUAACGGCGUUCCCUUACGUUGGAUGCCACGUGUCGGUCACCCUUGACGAAAGCACUUCUGUGACGCGCGAUUUAUCGUCAUGGAAGUGGACACUUCCGUGAUGAUAAUUUUGGUAAUGUCAUGGAACACUUCUACGACAGCACAGGUAUGACUAUCUUGAUUCUGUCAUAAAUUUGUCAUGGAUGUACAUGCAUGACAGAAAACGUGACCUACUGUGGCAAACACGUAUCAUCACGGAAGUGUAUUUUUUUGUAGUGUCCCGAACAAAAUGAAUGUCAAGCUCGAUGUGUUUGGUGCGACAGUGCUGAACCGGGUUAGCGGAUAAGUAGACCGCACUGACGUUGUCGCAAUAUACGAUAGUAGCACUCGAGAUUGGCCUGUGAGGCUCCUGUAAUAAUUGACGAACCCAGCAAGACUCUGCAACGACCGCAUCAACUGCUCUAUAUUCAGCCUCUGCGCUAGAACGAGAGACCGUUGUCUGUCAACGUGAGGACCAUGAGAUGAGAUUAUUGCCAAGAUACAUGCAAAACCCGGAAGUCGAGCGACGUGUGUCCGGACAUCCAGCCCAAUCGGAUAGGCAAGGACGCCAAGGUGCUCUGUAGCCGUCGUAGGAUAGGACUCUUAACAGUCAGGUUGCAAGGAGACUUGUUUAGAUGCAGCCAACGUUGUGUGAGUUGCCAGAACUCCGUAAUCACAUAUACCCAGUGCAGUCCAAUCAUCCAUCUUUGAUCGUAACUGCGUCUGCAACUGAGAUAUUCUUGCACUGCGAAAGCUUGAAAAUGCCGGGGGGCAGAGAAUCAUACAGCCUUGUCAUCGAGCCCGUGGUCAUCCAGAAGCUCAUACACAUGCCAUUGCCAACCAUGACAUAAGUAGAGGUCGAGAAGAGUGCCAAAUCAUCUUUGCACAGAGGAUGGGAGAACCAACCCAAGGUUUGUCAUUAUCAAUCUGGUCAAGUCACUACCGGCGGAGUCGUAGGGCACGUCCAAAUCGUGAGAUCCAACACACGUAACCCUCCAAGAUUUUAGGACGACACAGUUCUACAUGAUUUAACUUACGCUCUGAACCCCGCAGCUUCGUGGCUCAAGUGUUGGCUGAGUCCCCGCUAGUGCUGCUGUUUCGUCGGGAACUCACUGGCUCGGAGACGGCAAGUUUGGGAAACUUGUUGUCUCUCCUGGAAGGCGUCGUGCUAACCCAAGGCCCGGACAUAGUGUCGUGGCGCCUCAACGCCUCCGGCAAGUUUUCCGUAAACUCACUUUACCGAGCUCUCGCUAGGGGCACCCACCAGCAAGUAGCGUCAGGGCUUUGGAGGGCACGGCUUCCCCUCAAAAUCAAGGUUUUCUUUUGGCAACUGUGUUGUGACAAGUUGCCCACUUCUGUGAACAUCGCCAAACGCAACGGGCCGUCCAACGGGGCAUGCACGGUGUGCGGGGAGCCCAAAACAGCUAACCACGUGUUCUUCCAAUGCCACUUGGCCCGGUUUGCGUGGAGUGCGGUCCGGGAGGCCGCUGGCCGGAAUUGGGAUCCUAGGUCAUGUUCUGAGUUAUGCGCUCUCCUGUCGUUGGUCUCUGGUUCCGCUAGACGUGUCAUGUGGUGCUGUGUGGGGGCAUUACUUUGGGCACUUUGGCGCAUUAGGAACAAACUUACGAUCGAGGGCGUCUUUCCCUCACAUCCUGCUGAUGUUAUCUUGAAAUGUGCUAUCUUUUUGCAGCAAUGGGCAUCGCUGGGAAGGCGUCAAGACGCUGAUCUUCUGCAGCUCGCUCUGGCCCGUCUCCGUCAGGUCUACACUUUGGUUAGAGCUCCUGCGCCGCAACCGUAGAGUUUGGUGGCACCUUUUGGUAUCGUUACUACGAGCCUGCGUGCUCUGUUCUAGCCGUCCGCGGCAUGUAAUCCUAGACGUGUUGUAAGACUUUAUUCGUGUGCACGCUGCCUGUUGUGGGCUUUAUUAAGUUAAAGCCAGACACGCCGAGCGUCUUCGUUCAAAAAAAAUUAACUUACGCUAUACUCCCUCCAUUCCAAAAUGGUUUUAGUUCAAAUUAGUGUUGUUUACCCGGGUGAUCUCUCAAUGUGAGGGCACCGGAUGAAGACCUUUGUCCAGUGCGGACUCGGCAGCGGCGACGCUCUGCGCCGUUCUCGUAGCAUAGAGGUGUUUAGUUCUCUCAGUGCUCAUUACUGGUAGCGUAGUCACAUGCGUUCUACGUGCGCUCGAUAUCUCAAGAUCAUCUUUGUAAGAGGGUUACCUCACUGUGUUAUAUCAUUCGGGCAUGUACAUCUUUGGAUGUUGAUUUAUUCAUAAAGUGGGGCGAAAGCCUAUUUCGAAAGAAAGUGUUUACCUUAUUUACACAUUCCAGACAUGUCAGGACAUAAAUUCUAGCGUUGUUUACCCUUAUUUACAUGUUUCAAAACCUGUAGAAAUAUGUGCAACCCAUUGUAACUUGGUUAAGAACACAAAAGCCCAUUACCGUGCCGUGUGAGCACAAACCGUACGUAACCAGCUUAUGGAUUUCUCUUGGCACAUACGACAGGAUCUCAAUCUCCCUCUUUUUUUUUCCUUAAUUGAAAUUGUGUGUACUUAGCAAAAAUUAGAAUCGCACACACAAAAAAAUCAAAUGAAGCUGAAUUAAAAUAAGUUAAAAAUUAGGAAAUAUGUUUCACAAUAUCUUAGGUUUUCCGUUAUUUGAGUUAAAAAGCGGUCAUAUUUUCACCGACAGACUCACACACAUCGCAGAACGUGAACCUGUCGCAUCCUUUUUGGCCUUAUGAGCGGACGUUCGCUUGAUGAUGCAAUAAAUAUUACUCCCUCGUAAUAUAAAAAAAAAAUAUUAUGGAACCAAGAGAGUAGUUAUGAGUGCAGUCCUCAUAAACCAAAGUGGAGAGAGAAGUCAACAUACAGUGUUCUACAAAUGGAAAAACAAAACUUUAAUAUAUACUUUUUUGUUCACAUAAAACCAUAAUAAUGCAACCAGAUGAUCAGAUGUUAAGUGCUGAAAUUUUAGCUAAGCAACUAAAGAAUCUUUGUGGAAUUGAACCACCUUCCAUCUGGGAUUUGAGCAUAUGCCCCGGAUCCACAGAGAAUCUCUCCUGACAGAAAGAUCCAUGACGAAAAGGGAAGAUAAUACUUGUUGCUUAUUACUCCCACCAUUCCAAAAUACAAUGUAUGGUUUACUAUUGAACAAGAUUAUAGAUUAAAUAUCAUCAUCUUAAUUUUAAUAAAUAAAAAUACUUUUCAUGACGAUCUAAUGAUGCAAAUAUGAAGAUUUUCAUGCAAAAGAAGAAACCUUAUAUUUUGGGUUUACUAACAUAAUUUGGGUCAGAUUUUCACCAUGAUUUUAACUAAUAAGAUACUGCCUCAAUCCAAUAUAACUGUCGUGCUUUAUAAAAAGCUUAAAAUAAAUCAACUUCACUUAUUUUGGGACCGAUAGAGUAUAAGUCAUAUAGCAAAAAUAAAUUGACACUACAUCAAUUCAAAUAUAAUUUGGUGAAAGGCAUUAAGACAAACAUAUGGUCAAAUUUUUGACCCAAAAUAAGAUAAGGACUAAUAAACCCAGAAUGAGGUAGUGUUGUGGAGCGGUAAAUUUCAUAUUUUGGGUCAGAUUUUGACCAUGAAUUUAACUGAUAAAAUACUCCCUCCAUCCUAUAUAAGUGCCACUGCUUUAUAAUAAAUAAAGAAUUUAAUAAAUCAACUACACUUAUUUUGGGACUGAGGGAGUAUAGGUUAUACAUAGCAAACAUAAAUUGAAACCACAUUCAAAUACAUUCAACAAUAUAAUUUGAUGACAUGCAUUAAGACCAACAUAUGAUCAAAUUUUGACCCAAAAUACGACAAGGAGUAAUAAACCCAGAAUGAGGUAGUAUUGUGUAGCACCCAGCGUAUAUAAAUUUCAUAUUUUCAGUCGGAUUUUGACCAUGAACUUAACUUAUAAAAUACUCCAUCCAAUAAGUGUCGUUGCUUUACAAAUUAUAAAAACUUGAAAUAAAUCGACUACACUUGGACUGAGAGAGUAUAGGUUAUACAAAGCAAACAUAAAAUGAAGCUACAUUCAAAUACAAAUUCAACAAUAUAAUUUUGUGACAUGCAUUAAGACAAACAUAUGGUCAAAUUUUGACCCGAAAUACUACAAAGACUAAUAAACAUUAGCAGUUGCUGCGGCAACUACCAUUGCAGAUCAGUUCAAGAUCUAGUCCAGAUAUAACUGGUAAAUGGCUGAAAAUUAUCUGCGCGUACCAAUCAACAACUAUGUAGUACAAUAAACUAACUGCACAAGAUCCUCAAAAUUAUGUGUGCCCAACUGGACAAAAACACAACUAAAACUCAUUGCUGACAGAUAUAUUAAAACUGAAAAAAUAAGUUCAGAAGAUUGAAAAUAGACUUGCUCAAUAUGAAAUUAUGUGUGGGAUAUAUGGAAUGUAAUAUUUGAACUAAAACUAACCACUGACUAAAUGCAGAAGAAUCAAAUAGCACAUAAUUUACUGGAGUACAUCUUAACCAGUUUCUCGAAGUCUGCUGAGCCUAUGAUGACCAGAAUUGAGGUCCACGUUUAGAUUCUUCUGCUGCAGGGUGCUUCUUCAUAAAUAUGAUGUCCACAUCCAGGGAAGAUAGCUGUAGAUUUAAUUUCUGGACUAUACAAUCCCAUCAUAAAGCUAUUCAGGAGAGCAGACAAACAUAUGAACAUUGUACAUUGUACAUCUCAAAUUGAAAUAGAGACCACGAUCAAAUUGUGAUCAUUGUACAUCUCAAGAGAGCAGACAAACAUAUGAACACAAAUUUAGAAAAAAUAACAACCCUUGAUAUAUAUACCAUAUUCUGGGGAAAAAUAGAAAACAAAACGAUUUGGCCUUCUGUUUAGACUGCCGAUUGUUAUUUAAGUUCAAAUUUGAGCUGUGAUAUGAUAGCAGAUUCAACAGCGAAUCAGACAAAUGAUUUCACUACAACUACGAGACUGAGAGUAACUUAAACGGGUUCAAGUGAUCACGAAUUCCUCCGUGUAAACAAGCUCAGAACAGAAUUACAAUUUACGAGAGCAGUACUUUGUCUCAAGUUUAUGUAUGCUUCAGCUGUAGAUUAUCGAUUGUACCUUUGGUUUGUAGCUCCUUGAUCGAUUCGCGACGGUAGAACGUUGUGCCAGGAAGAUUGGAUCGGACGAGAGGUGCAGACAAAGGAGCACACCAGGACACGGUGGGGGGAGACCCCGGGGCUGAAACAGAAAAAUCCCCGUGCGAUCUCCCCCCGGACACAAGAACCAUCUUUAUUACGGUGGUGGCCUGCCAUGCGAGCGCACCCAACAUGGCAAAGGCCUCUAGGUGUCACAUCUCUCUCUUUUUUCACUCCUUUUUCCCUCUUGGCACGAUCACCUCGCUUGUUACAUGCUCUUACCUCCGAUCUCUUAGAUCUAAUAAUUAUCGAGAUAUCAUCGGAUAAUUAUCAAUACAAGAGCCGCCGUCGCGCGAGGCGGAGAAGACGGGAUCCCCACGUGCAUGCCGGAGAAGACGCCUUCCUCGCCGCAGGGUCAACCCGAGACCACCGGGAACCCCCAGAUCCGCCGCGGGCCAUCAGAUCUACGAGUCAUACCGGCACGGAAAGUCAGGCAAGACGGAUCUACGGCUCAAUCACGCGGUGGAGACGAUCUCAGCGGGGGAAAAUACUCACAGGUAACAGAUCUGACUCGCCGGACGGGCAGACCGGAAGAUGCAGCCGCCUCGCAACUCGCUCCAAGAUCGCCGCAAGCCCAGCCCGUCGAUCGACGAGGAACCUGCGAACCAGAGAGCACACGGGGGUUUCGCGGGAAAAAUCAUGGUAGCCAGACUCACGGGCUCACCUUGCCGAGAUGGAGGUAGUUGUGGUUGGGAGGAGGAGGCGGGUUCUUCUCUAUAUCAAGGAUCUGAUCUAGUGUAUAGGGGGAGGGAAAAAGGUUGCGUGUCGCAGAGGAGAACGCGGCGGCUUUGUUGGUGGUCUGCUCAGAGUCGG
rnacentral:lncRNA from 1 species